rnacentral:rRNA from 1 species
AGCUCCAAUAGCGUAUACUAAAGUUGUUGCAGUUAAGAAGCUCGUAGUUGAAUUUCUGGAUCCGAAUUAUGGUCAGUCAUUAAGUUGAUUUGUACCUUUUGUUUGGGUCCAUCCUCGGAGAAAACAUAUCUGUCAUUAAGUUGAUGGAUAUGGGAUCUUCGUCAUUUACUGUGAGCAAAAUAGAGUGUUCAAAGCAGGCUUAUGCCGUUGAAUACAUUAGCAUGGAAUAAUAAGAUAAGACCUUGGUCUAUUUUGUUGGUUUGACUCCAAGGUAAUGAUUAAUAGGGAUAGUUGGGGGUAUUCGUAUUCAAUUGUCAGAGGUGAAAUUCUUGGAUUUAUGGAAGACGAACUACUGCGAAAGCAUUUACCAAGGAUGUUUUCAUUAAUCAAGAACGAAAGU